UUUUUCACAUGAUGGAAGCUUCGCUGGGU
rnacentral:piRNA from 1 species